UUUUUUUUUUUCCCAUAUGGGAGAACUGAGCUCAGAGAGGAAAAGAAAUUGGUCCAAAGUCACACAGCUAAGAAGAGGUGGACCUGACAUUCAGAUCGAGAGAGUCUGACCCACUUUGGGGGAAGCCAUCCCUGUGGAUGCCGGGAGAGAGCGCAUCAGGAAAAGCAGAAGAGUGAGGCCAGUUAUCAGCUCCAGGGGUCAACUGUCUUUUGUCCUCACUCAGAGAAUAAAAACUUUUCUUUAGACAUCUCAAGGUUCUACAGGCCCUUCCCUUUCAAGGGGAUUAUAAAGGAAAUCCGUGCUGCUACUUUUGACCAUUUGCAAUCUUAGCCUGAUGACAAAUUACACUCUCGAAUAAAACAUCUCAAGUUGG